rnacentral:sRNA from 1 species
CUAAAAUAUUUCUAUUAUUUUCUUGAAAUUGAGUGUGCAGUAGGUUAUGGUGGUGUUUUGGAAGAAACAGAUAAAACAGAUUUUGUGUGUGUGUGUGUGUGACCUUGUCUUAGGGAUUCAUGGCGAAGGGUCCACCUUCAGCACCCUGUAUGGCCUCCUCCUGUGGGACAUCAUCUUCAUGGAUGGGAUUCCAGAUGUCUUCAGAAACGCCUGUCAGGCAUUCCCCCUGGACUUGUGCACAGACAGCUUCUUCACAAGCAGACGCCCGGCCCUCGAGGCCAGGUUGCAGCUGAUUCAUGAUGCCCCCGCGGAGAGCCUGCGGGCCUGGGUGGCAGCCACGUGGCAGGAGCAGGAAGGCAGGGUGGCUUCCCUUGUCAGCUGGGAUCGCUUCACGUCUCUUCAGCAAGCUCAGGAUCUUGUCUCCUGCCUGGGGGGCCCUGUGCUCAGUGGUGUGUGCAGGCGCCUGGCUGCUGACUUUCGACACUGUCGAGGGGGCCUCCCCGACCUGG